rnacentral:rRNA from 1 species
AUUGAACGCUGGCGGCAGGCCUAACACAUGCAAGUCGAACGAGGGGCGGACGGGUGAGUAAUGUAUGGGAAAAUGCCUGAGGGAGGGGGCUAACUAAUGGAAACGGUAGCUAAUACCGCAUACCAGCAGAUGUGCCCAGAUGGGAUUAGCGAGUUGGUGGGGUAACGGCGCAACAAGACGACGAUCCCUAGCUGGUCUGAGAGGAUGACCAGCCACACUGGAACUGAGACACGGUCCAGACUCCUACGGGAGGCAGCAGUGGGGAAUAUUGCACAAUGGGCGAAAGCCUGAUGCAGCCAUGCCGCGUGUAUGAAGAAGGCCUUCGGGUUGUAAAGUACUUUCAGCGGGGAGGCGUUACCCGCAGAAGAAGCACCGGCUAACUCCGUGCCAGCAGCCGCGGUAAUUC